rnacentral:tRNA from 1 species
GGAGGCGUAGCUCAGCUGGUUAGAGCGCUACCUUGACAUGGUAGAGGUCGUAGGUUCGAGCCCUAUCGCGUCCACCA